GACGAACGCUGGCGGCGUGCUUAACACAUGCAAGUCGAACGUGAUUUUUGUGGAAAUUCUUUCGGGAAUGGAAAUGAAAUGAAAGUGGCGAACGGGUGAGUAACACGUGAGCAACCUACCUUACACAGGGGGAUAGCCGUUGGAAACGACGAUUAAUACCGCAUGAGACCACAGAAUCGCAUGAUAUAGGGGUCAAAGAUUUAUCGGUGUAAGAAGGGCUCGCGUCUGAUUAGCUAGUUGGAAGGGUAAAGGCCUACCAAGGCGACGAUCAGUAGCCGGUCUGAGAGGAUGAACGGCCACAUUGGAAACUGGGACACGGUCCAAACUCCUACGGGAGGCAGCAGUGGGGAAUAUUGCACAAAUGGGGGGAAACCCCUGAUGCAAGGCG
rnacentral:rRNA from 1 species